GGCACAACACAAUAGACAAACAAUUGCAAGGGUGAGCUAAUUGUAUAUAUAAAACAUGCAGCAUAUCAAGCAGAUAAAACACACAUCCUAUACAUGUUAUAUUCUAGACUUGACUCGUCCGGACUUAGAAUAAAAGUCGAGCUAUGGCGGGUCUUGCACCCGUGGUGACUUAUGAAGCUUGGGUUCCCCACCCUGUCACACUCACGAGGUCAGUCUGUUCCGCGCCUUGAGGCAUACUGGGAGCCCCCAAGACUAAGACCUCCUGCUACUCCUCACCACAUGGUUCAAUCUCUCUAGAUGAGCUUGAUUGACCAUUGGAGCGUCAAGAUGACCCCCAAGACUGAGCUUCCCAUACUUUCAUUUUAAACACUAAGAAUCUCACCGAGAGAUUCUACACAGAUGGAACUUAGUUUACCACUUGGAUCAUACUUUCAUCACUUUGUAAUCAUAUACUUUUUGCCACAAUUAACACAUACACAAUCUCAACAAUAUACAUUAACUCAUUCAUCACAAGUUAUAAAAGCAACAGUUCCAUAAUCUAUCAAUACCAGAAUCUUUAUAAUUUAUUUUCAAUGCCUACACUCAUAUACACUGAAAACAUGUU
rnacentral:lncRNA from 1 species